rnacentral:rRNA from 1 species
UACGUAGGGGGCGAGCGUUGUCCGGAGUUACUGGGCGUAAAGGGCACGCAGGCGGUGCGGCGCGUUUCGCGUGACAGCGGAGGGCUUAACUCUCCGAGGAUGCGAAAGACGGCGGCACUUGAGGGCCAGAGAGGGACACGGAAUUCCGGGUGGAGUGGUGAAAUGCGUAGAGAUCCGGAGGAACACCGAAGGCGAAGGCAGUGUCCUGGCUGGUGACUGACGCUGAGGUGCGAAAGCCAGGGGAGCAAACGGG